rnacentral:tRNA from 1 species
GCCUGGCUGGCUUAGUGAGUAGAGCACGUGACUCUUGAUCUUGGGGUUGUGAGUUUGAGCCCCAUGUUGGGUG